GUUACAUGCUCAAGCAUGUUACGGUAAUCUAGGUUACUNNNNNNNNNNGUUGUGUUGCCGUUACCAUUGAUGUAACAAAAAGCUGACUUGGGAUGCCUCGUGUCAGUAAGAACCUGAGUGGUGAUCAACGACUAAUGGUGACACAAGUUAAAUCCACUGGCUCCUCUUUUUUUCUUCUACCUCAAGAACAAUGGUGUAGAAUCAUAUCCAAUCANNNNNNNNNNCUCGGUGUUGCCGUUACCAUUGAUGUAACAAAAAAGCUGACUUGGAUGCCUCAUGUCAGUAAGAACCUGGGUGGUGAUCAACGACUAAUGGUGACACAAGUUAAAUCCACUAGUUCCUUUUUUUUCUUCUACCUCAAGAACAAUGGUGUAGAAUCAUAUCCAAUCAUUGGAUCAUGAGAGGAGAAAGGAAAUAGUAUAGUAGUGCUGGCAUACACUGACUAAAAUUUGUGUCACCGAAAGCAUUGGCGUAUUAGGCGAUGCAACGUGGCCAUAUCAGAAGGCCAGGCCAAAUAUUAGACAACAAGAAGCAAAACCAAUCAAUAAAGUACAGUAGCAUAGUAGCAAAAUCAUUUACACUGGAAAGGAAGCAGCUCACAUUGCAAUCUGGCAUGUUCUGAACGCGUGAGAGGUGCAAGAUAAAUAUAGUACAACAAACAAAUACCAAGUUCUUGCAGAGAAAACAGUGCGAAUCUAGGUACAUGACAACUAGAAGCAUUAGAAACUAAGUCGCCGACUAUGCCUGUGGGAAGACUUUNNNNNNNNNNCAACAAACAAAUACCAAGUUCUUGCAGAGAAAACAGUGUGAAUCUAGGUACAUGACAACUACUCCCUCCGUUUCAAAAUAUAAGACCUUUUAGGAAUUUCACUAGGAGACUACAUACAGAGCAAAAUGAGU
rnacentral:lncRNA from 1 species